rnacentral:tRNA from 1 species
GCCAGUGUGGCAUAGUGGUUUGAUUGUUGGACUACAACUCUGGAGACCAGGGUUUGAUUCCCAGCGUAGCCA